AGUCUCAAAGCAGAGUUGUUCCGGACUGCUUGCAGACCGGGACGGCUCUGCUUUAGAGACGCUAACUCAUAUGAGCAAGUAGGCCGACAGGCCGGAUUGCGAAUAUGGGGCGAAUUGCGGGAACGCAAAGCGUGGAGCAAUCCGAGG
rnacentral:sRNA from 1 species